rnacentral:tRNA from 1 species
UUAAUUGGAUCAGAUGGUAAAGAAUUUGUCUGCAAUGCAAGAGACACAGGUUCAAUCCCUGUCAGGAAGA